CGCUGGCGGCGUGACUUAACACAUGCAAGUCGAACGGAAAGGCCCAGCUUGCUGGGUACUCGAGUGGCGAACGGUGAGUAACACGUGGUGAUCUGCCCCAAACUUCGGGAUAAGCCUGGGAAACUGGGUCUAAUACCGGAUAUGACCUGCUCCUGCAGUGGGGGUUGGUGGAAAGCUUUUGCGGUUUGGGAUGGGCCCGCGGCCUAUCAGCUUGUUGGUGGGGUAAUGGCCUACCAAGGCGACGACGGGUAGCCGACCUGAGAGGGUGAUCGGCCACACUGGGACUGAGACACGGCCCAGACUCCUACGGGAGGCAGCAGUGGGGAAUAUUGCACAAUGGGCGCAAGCCUGAUGCAGCGACGCCGCGUGAGGGAUGACGGCCUUCGGGUUGUAAACCUCUUUCGCCAGGGACGAAGCGCAAGUGACGGUACCUGGAGAAGAAGCACCGGCCAACUACGUG
rnacentral:rRNA from 1 species